UGAGUCUAAUGGAUGCAGGUCAAGUCGAAUUGAUUUAGGAUGAUCUCUGAACCCAAAUCGCAUGCACCCCGCAAAUCAAGACCCUCUGAUUCAGUCACCUAAUUUUCUUCCCACUCGUUCCAACUCUUUUUCCACAUGAUCCAAUUUUAAUCUCAAAAACAAUAAAAUUCCUUCAAUUAUUUGUUUCUCAGAUCUCNNNNNNNNNNNNNNNNNNNNGAACCCAAAUCGCAUGCACCCCGCAAAUCAAGACCCUCUGAUUCAGUCACCUAAUUUUCUUCCCACUCGUUCCAACUCUUUUUCCACAUGAUCCAAUUUUAAUCUCAAAAACAAUAAAAUUCCUUCAAUUAUUUGUUUCUCAGAUCUCAAAGCAUACCAUCUUAGUUGCACGGAUCCCAAAGCCUCAUCACAUCUCAGCCAUUCAUCUUGCAUCACCCAACUCCACGCCUCUCAAACCCAUUGUUUUUCCCAUGCGUUGAAACAAAGAACAGAUCUUCUCCUCCAAAAUCCCCUGCAUCUCGGAUUACAAGCUUAUCCCCUAUUUCCAGUUCGUUCCCAGCCAAAUGCAGCCACCCCUCGCGGACUCAAACCAACUGCUGGAUCCCCUGAAAACAGAAUUUAUCGCUUCAUUUCUCCCAUUCAAAUCAAACCUCCACGUCCUUCCCAGCAUCCUUUCCCCUGUCUGUGUUUCCUUCUCCACAUCUUUCCAAAUAUCCCACGGAUCAACUCCAUUCAUCGCGUCCGAGUAUCCCGAUAGCAUUCCGGAUAAGAACCAAGCCAACUUCUUCCGCUAGAUUCCACGCUCAUCCCAUCUGUGAUCUAUCUUCAUCCCGCAUCUUAAACGAACAUCCCUUGCAUCCGAGAAUCAAGCCAACUCCUUCAAUGCGAUCAGUUCCCAGCUUAUCAUCAUCCUCUGCUUCUGAACCAACCCAUCCUCAUCCUUCCCAUCCAAACUUCCCCUCGCAUCCGUAUCGUCUUCCCAUCGUUUCUUCAUCACAGAUCCAUUCUGUGUUCAUCUUCCACAUCACCUCCUCCCAGAUUUCGUCCGCAUCACCCAAAGAUCUCUUCCCAUCCCGUGAGCAUCAAAGGAUCUCGUUUCAGCCGAUUCCCAGACUUCAUCCUCCCGAGUCCCGAGCUUCACGGCAACCAAACGUAUCCUCCCCUAUUUCGGAAACAGAACGUAGUCAUCUUCCCAUUCCGUGGAUCACAUCCCAAACCACUUCUCCUAACAAAGUCCCACGCGUCCGGCUCAGCGCCUCUCCCAUCCGAAACCUCAUCAUCUCCCAGCCAUCACCUGCUUCGGAACCAAGUUCCAAUCCCAUCUUCUACGUAAUCCUCUUCAUCCGAGAUCCUCUCAAAUGCCCGUCAUGCCGCAUCCCCUGUUUCACGCAUCUUCAUCCCAUUCCGAUCCUAGAUUCCAGUCGUCCACGUCGCCUCCACGUUGAAGAAGUGCAUCUGCCGAACAGAGUCCGAGUUCCCAGCAUAUCUUCUUCGCAACACCCAGAUUAGAUGUAGCUCCUAUCAUCCACGGAAGAGAUGAAGCCUCCACAAGCUUAUCCACCACUCGGAACAACCACAAGGAAGAGAUAGAGGGAGAUGGGCUGCUUAUAUAAAGAGAAGAUGUUGAUCAGAGGAGAGCAUUCCUCCUCUUCCCCACCGGGGGGGAGGCCAAAUCCCACGGGAAGAAGAAGAAGUAAAGGGAGAGAUAAUAGUUUGGGAUAUUCUGGGAAUUACUUCCCACGAAAAAAAAGAAAAAGAAAAAGAAAAAGAAAUGAAGUGAUAAGAGGGGAGCCCGCUGCUGUGCCACUGCUGCUGUCGCCUGCGACUUCAUGGAAGGCUGAUCUCCUCUCCAGGGCUGGAUGCAGCCCUAACAAAGGGAUACGGAUUUUAUAUUUUUUUAUUUCUAUUCUUGGAGGUUGUAUGAACUUAUUGUUU
rnacentral:lncRNA from 1 species